AUUCAAGCGAAUUAUCAUCCAAUCCGAAUGCCUUCGAGUGUGGAGUGUCGAGCAUUCUGAACUCCAAUGGUCUUCAAGAACCUGAAGACACUUCAAAGAAUUCUCUUUCAGAUGCCAAGCAAUCAACAGAAGUUGAUGAUCCUGUAGUUGAAAGAACCAAAGAAACAAGUUUAACCAUGGAAGAGGAGAACAAGGGUGGACAUCCAGAAAAUGAGCUUCUUGCAAACAAUGAAACAACCCCUGUAGCCAUUUCUUGUUUAUCUGAAGCUAUUCAAACUACGGUCACUCUUGGAGGAAGUGACCAUGGUGAACAUGAAAAGGUCGGAAUCGAAUGCCCAAUUGUAGCUGGGGGUGAAACUGAGAAAGAAAGGACUGAGGAAAAAUUGGCAGGAGUUUCUGAAGGUGAUAAAACUAUCUGCCCAGUUGGAGGACAUAAUGACCGUGCUAUAGUUACAGGCACAACUGUGCAUGAAAGCAGGGAAGAAAUUUUUCAUGAAGCCUCUGAAGAAGUGUCAAUUAGCAAUGAUGCCAAAGCAGUGGAGUCUGCAGGUGCAACUGGAUUGGAUUCCAAAGUAAUCAGUGAUUGUGACGUGAAAGAGCCCACUGAUUUGAACAGUCGUGUUGUUGAUACUGAUUUGAACAAUUGUGUUGUUGAUACUGAUUUGAACAAUU
rnacentral:misc_RNA from 1 species